UUGCUUUGGCAGCACAUAUAGUAAAAUUGGAACGAUACAGAAAAGAUUAUCAUGGCCCCUGCACAAGGAUGACACACAAGUUUGGAAGUGUUCCAUAUUUUU
ensembl:snRNA U6 U6 spliceosomal RNA